rnacentral:rRNA from 1 species
AGUGAACGCUGGCGGUAGGCCUAACACAUGCAAGUCGAACGGCAGCACAGUAAGAGCUUGCUCUUACGGGUGGCGAGUGGCGGACGGGUGAGGAAUACAUCGGAAUCUACUUUUUCGUGGGGGAUAACGUAGGGAAACUUACGCUAAUACCGCAUACGACCUACGGGUGAAAGCAGGGGAUCUUCGGACCUUGCGCGAUUGAAUGAGCCGAUGUCGGAUUAGCUAGUUGGCGGGGUAAAGGCCCACCAAGGCGACGAUCCGUAGCUGGUCUGAGAGGAUGAUCAGCCAAACUGGAACUGAGACACGGUCCAGACUCCGACGGGAGGCAGCAGUGGGGAAUAUUGGACAAUGGGCGCAAGCCUGAUCCAGCCAUACCGCGUGGGUGAAGAAGGCCUUCGGGUUGUAAAGCCCUUUUGUUGGGAAAGAAAAGCAGCAGGUUAAUACCCCGCUGUUCUGACGGUACCCAAAGAAUAAGCACCGGCUAACUUCGUG